CGACCUGCCCCUGUUUUUCCCUCGAGACCAGCCGACACUGACGUUUCAGUCCGUCUAUCACUUCACCAAUAGUGGACAGCUCUACUCCCAGGCCCAGAAAAACUACCCAUACAGCCCCAGAUGGGAUGGCAAUGAGAUGGCCAAAAGAGCAAAGGCAUAUUUCAGAACCUUCGUGCCCCAGUUCCAGGAGGCGGCCUUUGCCAACGGCAAGCUCUAGGAAGCCCCGUCUCGAGGGCCAGCUGGCUCCGGCCACAUGCGUGGCAAUACCCGCACCUGGAGGCUUCCAGAAGCCGCGGACCAUCUCCGCAGCAGCGCUUCGCCCACACAGCAUCUCCCCACGUCCAGGCCGCACGACUCCCACUGUAGCCGUGACUGAGCCCAGAUCCCCCGCGCGUGCUGCUGCCCUCUGUCCUGUGCGUCUUGACUGAAAGCAGGGAACUCCCAGGUUGUGACGCAGCCACGUUGCAGGGGCGUUGGCGUCCGCGGCACUCACGCCCCUCCUCGAGGCCUUGUCUCCGAGUCUUCUCGAGUUUUAGGAUUAAACACCUCUUGGCUGAUUUUCCUGA